GCCAGGCAUGGUGGCUCAUGCCUGUAAUCCUAGCACUCUGGGAGGCCGAGGUGGGUGGAUCACCUGAGGUCAGGAGCUGGAGACCAGCCUGGCCAACAUGGUGAAACCCCGUCUCUA
rfam:Pan troglodytes isolate Yerkes chimp pedigree #C0471 (Clint) chromosome X, whole genome shotgun sequence.